CCCCCCCCACUGCAGGCCCCGCCCCGCCGGCCCCGCCCCCGCGGCGCGCUCCCGGCCGGGAGGCGUGUGCGCCCCUGCAGCGCCGAGCGCGGGGGGAUGCGUACUGCGGGAGCCGCUCGGGCUAACAAGUGCUCGCUGCUGUCUAGGAUUUUGCUUCUUUUCCUGGGGAGCCUUGACUUCCUUUCCCAGCUGGCCCUCCUGUGCUGAACUCCGGAGGAGCCCGAGUUUUGGGGUGUUCCCGGGGGCAACCCGACCCCCGCCCCGAGAUCCAGCGGCGAGGACCUUGCGCCCCCGGCCAGGCGACAGAACUUGUUCCGUGGAUGUCCUGGAGCCUCCACCUGCCUCCCCGGAGUGGUUCCUUCUUCCCGAGAUCACUCGUCCCCUCCUCCAGCUGUUGCCGCUGAGCGGGGGGAACCGACACCGGGGAUUCUCUUUAUUUUUGUUGUGCACCCCGCCUGGAUCGGUGACGCACUGCUUCUGCAUGAUUUUAGCUGAAGGAUGCUCUGCAUUUCCUUGAUUCCUAUGGAGACCUCAGAGCUGGGUUGGCCCCUGCUGAUACCUCAUCUUGCGCCUUCUCAACCUCCCAAGGUCUUUGCCUCUGUCCAUAGCCUGGCAUUGCCCCUGGGUCCAGGAAGCCUGUGAUGAACUUAAGGGGGGAGCCUGGAGAGUCAGCCUGAGAGGCUUGGAGGGGCAAUGGCCGCACAUACUGCAAGUCACAUGUUGACGUGGGUCAAGCCGUCACUAGAAGGCAAGUGCUAAGACUAAAGGCUUAUUUGCAUUUUAUUUAAAUACGAUGGACUGGGCUUUGGACAAUUUCCAUGGAAGAAAAAUAUAUUCCAUCUUCUAGGCACAACUGCUGGCUGUCAGAUACUUGCUGCCUUUGAAUCUUGCAGCAGCAUCACCAGCCACAUCCUAGACGUGUUUCCGAAUUUGAACAUCCACCCCAAAACGGGUGUUUGAGAGACCCCACCACUUCGGACUUGGGCUUGCGAGUGCUAGGUUGUGUAUCUCGACCAGCCAAGUUCUAGACAGCACUGUUGAAUCCCUGGGAGGAGAGAGCAUGGGGCGUGCUGAUUUAAAAACAGAAAAUGCAAAGCUGGACUGAAAAUAUCCCUGGUCUUCCAGGCAAUCUGCUUAAGGGUUCCAAACUUACCUUAAUUUGGUGAGAAAAGAAGCUGCCCUAUUUUUCUUUCUUCUGCUUCUGCAACUGGAACCAGCCAUUCCCGAAAGCCAUCACCAUGGAGGUCGCGAUGGUGAGCGCGGAGAGCUCAGGGUGCAACAGCCAUAUGCCUUAUGGCUACGCGGCCCAGGCCCGCGCCCGGGAGCGCGAGCGCCUGGCGCACUCGAG
rnacentral:lncRNA from 1 species